UGGGGAAUAUUGCACAAUGUGCGAAAGCCUGAUGCAGCGACGCCGCGUGAGGGAUGACGGCCUUCGGGUUGUAAACCUCUUUCAGUAGGGACGAAGCGCAAGUGACGGUACCUGCAGAAGAAGUACCGGCUAACUACGUGCCAGCAGCUGCGGUAAUUCGUAGGGUGCGAGCGUUGUCCGGAAUUACUGGGCGUAAAGAGCUCGUAGGCGGUUUGUCACGUCGUCUGUGAAAUCCUAGGGCUUAACCCUGGGCGUGCAGGCGAUACGGGCUGACUUGAGUACUACAGGAGAGACUGGAAUUUCUGGUGUAGCGGUGGAAUGCACAGAUAUCAGGAAGAACACCGAUGGCGAAGGCAGGUCUCUGGGUAGUAACUGACGCUGAGGAGCGAAAGCAUGGGUAGCGAACAGG
rnacentral:rRNA from 1 species